rnacentral:rRNA from 1 species
AUGAACGCUGGCGGCGUGCUUAACACAUGCAAGUCGAACGAAGAAGGUUAGAAUGAGAGCUUCGGCAGGAUUUCUUUCCAUCUUAGUGGCGGACGGGUGAGUAACGUGUGGGCAACCUGCCCUGUACUGGGGAAUAAUCAUUGGAAACGAUGACUAAUACCGCAUGUGGUCCUCGGAAGGCAUCUUCUGAGGAAGAAAGGAUUUAUUCGGUACAGGAUGGGCCCGCAUCUGAUUAGCUAGUUGGUGAGAUAAUAGCCCACCAAGGCGACGAUCAGUAGCCGACCUGAGAGGGUGAUCGGCCACAUUGGGACUGAGACACGGCCCAAACUCCUACGGGAGGCAGCAGUGGGGAAUAUUGCACAAUGGGCGAAAGCCUGAUGCAGCAACGCCGCGUGAAGGAUGAAGGGUUUCGGCUCGUAAACUUCUAUCAAUAGGGAAGAAAGAAAUGACGGUACCUAAAUAAGAAGCCCCGGCUAACUACGUGCCAGCAGCCGCGGUAAUACGUAGGGGGCAAGCGUUAUCCGGAAUUACUGGGUGUAAAGGGAGCGUAGGCGGCAUGGUAAGCCAGAUGUGAAAGCCUUGGGCUUAACCCGAGGAUUGCAUUUGGAACUAUCAAGCUAGAGUACAGGAGAGGAAAGCGGAAUUCCUAGUGUAGCGGUGAAAUGCGUAGAUAUUAGGAAGAACACCAGUGGCGAAGGCGGCUUUCUGGACUGAAACUGACGCUGAGGCUCGAAAGCGUGGGGAGCAAACAGGAUUAGAUACCCUGGUAGUCCACGCCGUAAACGAUGAGUGCUAGGUGUCGGGGAGGAAUCCUCGGUGCCGCAGCUAACGCAAUAAGCACUCCAGCUGGGGAGUACGACCGCAAGGUUGAAACUCAAAGGAAUUGACGGGGGCCCGCACAAGCGGUGGAGCAUGUGGUUUAAUUCGAAGCAACGCGAAGAACCUUACCAAGGCUUGACAUCCCGAUGACCGUCCUAGAGAUAGGACUUCUCUUCGGAGCAUCGGUGACAGGUGGUGCAUGGUUGUCGUCAGCUCGUGUCGUGAGGUGUCGGCUUAAGUGCCAUAACGAGCGCAACCCUUAUCGAUAGUUACCAUCAGGUGAUGCUGGGGACUCUGUCGAGACUGCCGUCGUAAGAUGUGAGGAAGGUGGGGAUGACGUCAAAUCAUCAUGCCCCUUAUGUCUUGGGCUACACACGUGCUACAAUGGCUGGUAACAAAGUGACGCGAAACGGCGACGUUAAGCAAAUCACAAAAACCCAGUCCCAGUUCGGAUUGUAGUCUGCAACUCGACUACAUGAAGCUGGAAUCGCUAGUAAUCGCGAAUCAGCAUGUCGCGGUGAAUACGUUCCCGGGCCUUGUACACACCGCCCGUCACACCAUGGGAGUUGGAAGCACCCGAAGUCGGUGACCUAACCGUAAGGAGGGAGCCGCCGAAGGUGAAGCCAGUGACUGGGGUG